AGCAGCCGCGGUAAUUCCAGUUCCAAUAGCGUAUAUUAAAGUUGUUGCAGUUAAAAAGCUCGUAGUUGAAUUUCGGGAUUUGUCAGUUGGUCGGGCUUCACUGUCCGUAUUGACUUGAUGGAUUCUUACCUUCUGAAUAACCAGCAUGCUAUUAAGUUAGUGCGUUGGGGAAGCAGAUCUAUUACCUUGAAAAAAUUAGAGUGCUUAAAGCGAGCUAGUGCUUGAAUAGAUUAGCAUGGAAUAAUAAAAUAGGACGGCAUGGUUCUAUUUUGUUGGUUUCUAGGAUCACCGUAAUGAUUAAUAGGGAUAGUUGGGGGCAUUAGUAUUCAAUUGUCAGAGGUGAAAUUCUUGGAUUUAUUGAAGACUAACUUCUGCGAAAGCAUUUGCCAAGGAUGUUUUCAUUAAUCAAGAACGAAAGUUAGGGGAUCGAAGACGAUCAGAUACCGUCGUAGUCUUAACCAUAAACUAUGCCGACUAGGAAUCGGACGAUGUUAAUUUUAUAAUGACUCGUUCGGCACCU
rnacentral:rRNA from 1 species